GAUUCCUUAGCUCAGCUGGUAGAGCACAUCACUUUUAAUGAUGGGGUCCUGGGUUCGAACCCCAGAGGGAUCACAA
rnacentral:tRNA from 5 species